GAUGAACGCUAGCGGCAGGCCUAACACAUGCAAGUCGAGGGAGAAGCCCUUUCGGGGGCAGAAACCGGCGCACGGGUGCGUAACGCGUAUGCAACCUACCUUUCACAGGGGGAUAGCCCGAAGAACUUUGGAUUAAUACCCCAUCAUAUUAUUUGAUGGCAUCAUUUGAUAAUUAAAACUGCGGUGGUGAAAGAUGGGCAUGCGUCCUAUUAGCUAGUUGGAGUGGUAACGGCACCCCAAGGCUACGAUAGGUAGGGGUCCUGAGAGGGAGAUCCCCCACACGGGUACUGAGACAGGGACCAGACUCCUACGGGAGGCAGCAGUGAGGAAUAUUGGUCAAUGGUCGGAAGACUGGACCAGCCAUGCCGCGUGCAGGAAGAAUGCCUUAUGGGUUGUAAACUGCUUUUAUAUGGGAAGAAUAAGGUGUACGUGUACAUUGAUGACGGUACCAUAUGAAUAAGCAUCGGCUAACUCCGUG
rnacentral:rRNA from 1 species